UAGAUGAUGACCGGUCGUUUGCUGCCUUGUCGGCCGAGCCUGUGAAUGCGGCUCAUUGAUUUGCACUGUACUUGCAGCUUAUUCCUUAUUACCUCGGCAAGCAUAUCUUCGGAGGAGUGCGUACUGAUCAACGCCGAGCUCGGGUGACUGGCAUGCAAGAGCUUCUACGCAGGAGAAUUCCCCACACUAACUACAGGCCCACUGCACAAAACAGCAUGGGUCCCACAAUUGUGCACUGUGUGACGUCGAGCUCAACAGAGCACCGGAAAGUUCUGCACAGAAGUAUUCGCCACAUAAACAGCAGAGGCUGCCUUGCAAGGAGUAGCUGCAAACCAGGCUACCUUGCAAGGAGUAGCUGUGAACCGCCUGCAAAACAUCGAAAGAUUGCGUGCUGUUCCAACGCCGAGCUCAGCUGACUAUCAUACAAGAGGUUCUGCGCAGGAGCAUUCGCCACACAAACUGCAGGCCGACUGCACAAAACAGCAUGGGUCCCAGAAUUGUGCACUGUGUGACGUCGAGCUCAACAGAGCACCUUAAAGUUCUGCACAGUAUUCGCCACAUAGACUGCAGGCCUGCAAAACUUCGAAGGAUUGCGGGCUGUUGAACGCCGAGCUCAGUUGACUAUCAUGCAAGAGGUUCUACGCAAGAGCAUUCGCCACACAAACUGCAGCUCGCAGCACGUUGUAUGCAGGGUCAUGGUUCUCUGCAUCGUGGCCCUGGCGCUGGGCUACUUUUUCAUUACAACAGAACGACCUGUGAUGAAGACGACAGCCAAAUAAACUACAACAGUACAGCUCGACACCACAACGACGACGACAGCGGGCCCUCCUGACAUACCCGGCACAACUGCACAAAAGAGCAUGGCUCCCUCAAUUGUGCACUGUGUGACGUCGAGCUCAACAGAGCACCGGCGAAGCUUCUACGAACAAGUAUUUGCCACAUAAACUGCCGAGGCUACCUUGCAAGGAGUAGCUGGGAACCGCCCACGGCGCAAAACAGCAUGGCUCCAACAACUGUGCACUGUGUGACGUCGAGCUCAACAGAGCAUCGGAAAAGCUUCUACACAGUAGUAUUCGCCAUGUGAACUGCAGCUCGCAGUACGUGGUCUGCGCGGUCACAAUUCUCUGCAUCGCUGCCCUGGCGCUGGGCUACUUUUUCAUUACAACAGAACGACCCAUCAUGAAGACAACGGCCAAUAAAACGAUCACAACGGCACUACUUGAGCCUACCACGACGGCGACAGUCCGCCCUCCUGACAUUCCCGAACUGUGUGCUGUGCCACGUCGAGCUCCAUGGAGCUUCUACAUCGAGAGAGACCGUUCACCACAUAAACUGCAGAGGCUGCCUUGCAAGGAGUAGCUGUGAACCGCCUGCAAGACAUCGAAGGGUUGCGUACUGGCCAACGCCGAGCUCAGUUGACCGUCAUGCAAGAGCUUCUACGCAGGAGCAUUCGCCACACAAACUGCAGCCAGGCCGCCUGCUCUCAACAGGCAUAAGCCCAUCGAGGUGGAAAUCAUAGAAAUUCAGAAAUAACUUGAAACGCUCAGAAAAUCUUUCCUAGCCCUGGACGUCUCCCUCAGUAUGCGACAUGUCUGCUACAGCUGUGUGCUGUGCCACGUCGAGCUCCAUGGAGUUUCUACAACGAGAGAGACCGUUCAGCACAUAAACUGCAGAUACAGUGGGGACGUAGAGGAUACGCACCUGUUUCAACCAUGGAGGAAGGAAAAGUUAGGAGACAGUUUCGCGCAACGCGAAUGAACG